GGAGGAUGCUGGGAAAUAAACCAAGAGGCCAGACCUAAAGCAGGACUGGAAAAAGUCACAAAAGGACUUUAAUAAUAUUAAUAACUACACUUCCGAAUGGUUUGCCAACACAGCUCCUUUAUUUUACCCCUGACUUGGGUUCUUGGCAGUCUCUGCGGAUGCCAGGGACUACUUGCCCAACCAGGAGCGUUCUCAUUUGCAGAUCAUUUCCUAAAUGCUAAAUUAGAAAUUGAAUACUGGUGUGUGAAGUUUAGGUGGAUUAAUGAACGAUUUAUUAAUUUCGGUUUAGCAGGUUUCUUUAAGUAUUUUAGAGGCAAUGAAGUUCUGGUUCCAAAUGUCCCUUGCAAAUCUGCCACCUGGCAGCAGCCAAAAUUUGAGGUGACGUGCAAAAAUAGCUGAUGUGUAAGGAUGGAAAGGGGUGAGGGAAGGUUAGCCAGUCCGGGAGAGUUCGCUUUCCUGGGAGGAUCAGGGCAGGCUCCCUGGAGGAGGUGGUUUUGAAUCCGAGUGGCAAAGGAUGGGGGAAAUAUAGACCAGGCAGCCGGUCUAGGGUGAGCGGGGGCAGGCCAGGCGGCGGGCCCUGCGCGUGAAGAUGUGUGAAGGCGGGAACAAUGCGGUGGGAGUUUGGACCACGGGGCUGGGGCUGGUGGAGGCCGCCGCAAGGAGAGAUGAGGCCCAUGGGGGCACUGCCAGGCCGGAGGGCAGGGAGCGCGGAGAACGCGGCUGACCUCUGUUCCAGGGGCUCGUGCUAAAGAAGGGCUGCCUCGUCCUCUGUCCACCACCAGGCGCCCUUUCCCCUCAGGCCUGUGCAGUCAUCUUUGGUGAAAUAUGAGAAUGAGUUGCCUGCAUGGAGGCCCACAGGACGCCCAGCCCUGCACGGAUGGCUUUGGGGGCGUCAGCUCAUUCAUUCCUCCCGUUAGUUGCAUGAGGGAGGUGUUAUCAUGAUGCCCAUUGUUCAGAGGGCACAGAGGAGGCCCAGAGAGGUUAAGCAACACGGCUAAUGUCACAUAGCCAGGAAGUGGCAGAGUGGUAUUGGAAUCCAGACCUCCUGGAACCCAAAGUCCUUGCACUAAGCACUGCUCUGUAAUGCUCCUCAUGUGCUCCCACCAGGCCUGUGACCUGAGCACCAUAGUCCUCCCCAUUUGUUGGAGGGAGAAACUGAGGCUCUGAGAGGUGGAAUCACUUGCAUGAGAUCACACAGCCGGAGGGGAGAAGCCGAGGUUGGAAUCCCCGGGUCCAGGUGACUCCAGUGCGCUUUCUGCAACCACCAACGACACAGCUGCUUGCUCUGCCACCUCCAUGUCCUUAUCUGAGAAGCGGGGCGAGGACAGCGGCCACCCGGUGGGGCCGUGCGGGGGUCCGAGGGGGGCGCUUGGCCGUCGCUUUAGGGACGCUGGCUGUGGCCACUUGUGUGAAGGCGCUGUUAGUAAAUGAGUGGGUUAGUGGGAGGCCUCAAGCAGUGCCCUGCACACAGUAGGUGCUCAGAAGUGCUGGCCGGCGGCAUUACUACUGUGGGACCUGCCGCAGGGCGGCCCGAGGUGCUUCCCAACCUGCCUCCUUCGCAGACGCUCCACUCGUGUCCAUCACCCAGCGACGGGCCUCGGAGUCCAGGUCAGGAGGACGCAGGGCGUCCGCCCAUCAGUCCGGGAGACGCUGCGAGCACUGGGUGACCAGUCCGAUGUCAGGGUUUGAACCCUGGACCCGCUGUGUGACCUCUGGCAAGCGUCUUGCCUUCUCUGAGCCUCAGUUUCCCCUUUUGUCUGUAGAGCCUGGGCCAGCUGCCCCGGAGGUGCCAGCCCCGCGCAAGGCCAGGGGCGGUUCCCGUGCCCCCGCUGGCCGCCGUCCCCGCCUCCUGCCUCCCGAGCUGCAGGCCCGCCCGGCUCAGCUGUGACGACCAACCAGCCAAUGUGUUUACUGAACUGCCUGACCCCUUCCGGGAACUGGGCCCAAGCUUCCCAGAACUCGGGUAUUAAUGACCCGGAGCCACAUGACAGAGCAUGACACAGCACUUUUGGGCACAAGGCAGGGCCCAGAGGGGCGCGUGGGGGGCCGCGGCCCAGCCCCCAGCCCGCUGGCGGCCUGGGUCCCAAGGCUGCGCUGCUGAGCUGGGGCGAUGGCAGAGGUGACACGGGGGUCCUGACCUCCGGGGCGGCUGGGAGGCUGCACUGGGCUCUUUAUUGAGGUACAACAGACACGGCGCGUGUUCUAGUGUGCACGUUGGUGAGUUUUGACACAUGGAUGCGCUCAUGAAGCCACCAGCACAACCAAGACUGUGAGCAUACCCAUCACUUUCCACUCCCGAGGUUUCCCUGUGUCCUUUUGUCGCCGCCCUUCCCACCCGGCCUCCUCCACGCUCUCUAUUGCUGUAACUCAGUCUACGUUUUCCAGAAGUUUCUCCAAGUGGAAUCAUAUAGCACAUCCUCCCUUGUCCGCUUCUUUCCCUCGGCGCGAGGAUUUCGAGAUUCAUCCUGUCAUCACGCCCGUUAUCUUCUCAGGUGUCCGCCCCCUCCCAGCAGGCCGUGAGCUCCGUGCGGCAAGGACUUUGUCUUAUUUGUCUCCGUGUCCUCAGCACCCCGCACAAGGCUGCGCACACAGGAAGUGCCUAAUAGAUGCCUGACUGGCGGGAGGGUGGAGACGAGCCCGUGUGGGGGACGGGCAGGCUGCAGCCUCGUGGCAGCGAGGAGCCCGAAGACUGGCUGGGACAACGGCCCCUGGACGCUCCGGAGGCCCCGUGGCCCCAUCAGAUGAGCAUAUCCGCUCAUCCCGGUGGCUGUCUCUGGGGGUCAGAGACCUGAACUGCACAAGGGUUGGGCUUGGGCUGAGGACGCGCUUAGUGGCCCCUUUAUCUGGCGUGGGCAUCCGGCCCUGUGUUCUGGAACGGCACAGCUUGCACGCCCAGCGGGCCACGCGGCCUGGGCCCGGGCAUGGCAGGAAGGGAGCUGGCGCCCCCCCAACCCCCCAAACCAGUCCGACUCCUCUGGAGAGGCUGCGGGAGCUGAGCGAGCGCGGGCGGCGGGGAAAGGAGGAGGUGGAGGGAGGACCCGCUCCAUCAGCGACCGUCCCGGGGAAUUUCCAGUCCUGCCCCGGCCGGCUGGUUACACAGGCGGUUUCCAGGUCUCGGCCUCAGCCCGAAGGUUCCAUGGCCCCAAGGCCUCUGGGUCUCAUCCCCAGCUGGAAAGGCAGCUGGCCAGGCUGGGGAGGGGCGAGGGGACAGAGCUACAUCCCGAGACGGCCCGCAACCAAAGCUGAGUGAGGCAUGGGCUUCCUGCGCGAUGUUACUGCCCAUUUCCCAGAUGGAAAAACCGAGGCGAGAGCUGUGGAUUGGCUGAGGUCACACAGGGGUCGCCGGGGAGCAGGAGCGCUUAAGGACCAGCGGUCAUCUUGCAGAGCCUCCUUCGAAGAUGACAAUGUUCUUUUGACAAAUGCUCAUUGAACCCCUACUGUGUGCCAGGCUCCAUGCUCAGCUCUGGGGAUUAAAAGAGAGUCCCGGGGCCGCCCCAUGGCGUGGUGGUGAAGUCCAGCGCCCUCCGCCUCCCUGGCCUGAGUCUCGGGUUCGGAUCCCAGACACAGACGCACACCACGCGUCAAGCUGUGCUACGGUGGCGUCCCACAUGCGAAAUAGAGGAAGAGUCACGCAGAUGUUAGCUCAGGGCUAAUCUUCCUCAAGCCAAAAAAAAAAAAAGAGGAAGAUUGGCAACAGAUGUUAGCUCGGAGAAAAUUUUCCUCACACACACAAAGCAAGAGAGUCCUGGGCAUGUAUCGUGUGUCACAUCUUACCUCCAGAUGGAAAAACUUUUGAGGGCAGGCUGUGGAACUUUGUUUUCUUGUUUGUGGAAACAAGGAAUUUACACCAGGUUAGCGUUUCCCAAAUAGGGUCUGAAGGACACAGAUUCUCUGGGACAUUGAGAGCAGUGACAUGGGGAAAAGGGUUCCACGGGCCCAAGAGUUUGGGAGUUACUGUGUGUAAGAAUGGAGCGUUUGCUGCAGGACUUCUCAGAGCCUUCAAUGUCUUAACAAGCUCCGUGAGCAUCUCAGUGGAUGGGUGCUCUGAGUCACCCUCUGUGAGAUCUAAGGGAGCCUGUUUAGUGUCUUCCUGUCUUUCUGAUUCCUGGUUUGGAUGCCACUUCCUCCGAGGAGGCUUCUCCGAAGCCCCAGGUGGACCUGCGUCUGUUCCUGUGAAGGCGCCUGCCUGGAGCUCCCUUCGACCUCUUAAUAUUUUCCACCUUGAGUUGUAACUCUCUGUUCCCAUCACCAGCCUGUGCGCUGCUCGAGGGAGGAGCCCACGGUGAUUCAUGUCUUGGUCCUGGUACAGGGAGCUGAAUGGGUGGAUGCAGAAGUUAAUGGGAGGAAGGAUGAGUGAUGACCUGAUGAAUGAAUGGGCGGACGGUCGAAUGGAAGAUUUAAUGACUGGGUACAUGGGCGGAUGGAUGUUUACGGAUGGAUGAAAUGCAUGAAGAGACAGGUAAACCAAAGCCUAGAUGAAUCCAUGAGGGACAUGAUGAACAAAUGAAAUAAUGCAUGGAUGGACGGAUGGAUGAAUAAAGAAAUUAGUGGAUAAAUGGGUGGAUGGAUGAUGGAGGGGUGGGUGAAUACAGAAAUGGUGAUGGAUGACAAAUUAUGAGGUAGAGGAUGCGGAUAACUCACGGUUUAAUAUUGUGAAUUAUUGAUGGAGGAAUGAAUAGAUAACAUAUAAUUAAAUGAGUAAAUAGAAUGAUAAAUGAAAUGGAUGAAUUAAUAGAUGGCUAGAUGAGAAAAUGCAUAAAGGGAUAAAUGGAUAGAUGGAUUGGUAAUUUCCUGAGUGUAUGGAUGGGUGAUGGAUGGAUAGAUGAGAGAGUGGAUGAGAAGGAUGGAUGGAUGAAUGGGUGGAUGGGUGGCUUGGAGACUGGAUGGAUGCAUUGAUGAACGGAUGGAUGGGUGGAUGGAGGAGUGAGUGGUUGGAUGGGCAAGUGAGAGGCUGGAUGCAGCAGUGAAUGCACGCAAUGUCAUAAGGUCUGCACCGAGGUCAAGAUGGCAGAAAUAUCCCUCAUCCCUCUUUGAUGCAGCAAUUUAUCAAGUUUUUGGAAUUUGAAAGUUUAAUGAAAGCAAUGAACUAUAUCUCUAGAAAACUGCACAUAGACAUGAAACGUCAGCAAUUUUAAGAGGGCGGUGGUCAUCAGGCCUAGAAGCUGCCUACAGACCCCCAGGAGUCCCAGUGCAGAGCAAGGAGUUUCCUUUAUUCCUCAGGCCCUGACCUUGGAGAGGAACCCAGGCCCAGAGGGAUGCAGGCAGCUGAGAUGGGGAUGCCGGGUGUCCCAACGGAAAGAGCACUCGUGUAUUCAUUUGUUCACGGCACAGCAUUUCCGCGCCUUUUCCGGAUGCCUGUGAGAAGACAAAGCCGCCUCUCAUAGCGCCGGGUGUUCGGAGUUUGAAGUCACACAGAUUUCCUUUGUAAUCUCAUCUCUGAUGCUCACCGGCUGGUUGACCUUGGGAAAAGUCCUUCACUCUCUGGGCCUCCUCUUCAUGUAUAACACAGGGAUGGCAAGAAUUCCUACCUGUUGGCUUGUAAGUGUGUAAACAAGCGUGUAAGUGUAUAAACAAGCCUAGUGCUCAGAGCAUAGUAAGUGCCCAACAAAUGCUGGUGGCGGGGUACCCAGGACACCCUCUCUUCCCUUGAAGCAGUCACUGUCUGGGAGGAAAGACAGACAAGCAAGCAGAGCACGAGUCCCAGAGGCGGGUGGGGGUCGUGGCGGGGGACCCUGCGACGUCACCUGAGUGUCAUGGCACUCGACACCUGUGUACGUUGAAGUCUCCUUCCAGCCAGAGGCCGCAGAGACUGGACGGCUGCGAGCCACAUUUCCCAGCCUCCUUUGCAGCGACAGUUCUGUGUGCUCUUAGGUUCCGCGAUCACAUGCCCGCCCGGGAGAUUCAGAGAGUGGAGGCCGUCUGGUUUUUGCUGUGGCUCUCUUUCUGCUGAUAAACAUGGCCACACACUGCAUUUUCUUGCAGCAAUGUACAUGCCUGGUGACCAGUUUGGAGGUCUGGGGAGGGGGGCUCCUGUCUCCAGAGAGCUGCUGGGUGGCCUGUUCUCCAAGCCACCAGCUCCCGCGCGGCCUGCUGAUGCCCCACCAUCCCGACCGGCCGAGGGGCAGCUCCCAUAUGGGCCAGUUCUGCUCCUUGUUUCGGAGCCCUUCCCGCCCUUCUAGUGAUUUUCUUCCAAUUCCCUGUAUUCCGCCCUUUCUGCAUAAAAUACCUGGA